rnacentral:lncRNA from 1 species
ACUACAUAGGGUCCGAAAAAAGCAUAUGUGAGUUAACACUCUGGAAGGGAAGUUACUCCAGGGUUGGAGUAACGACCGAUCUCACAGGAAAGGUUUCAUAUAAGAAUACAAGCCAGCCCACAUAAGUCUACAUAUGCCUAACAGAGCGAAUUGCUUCGCGAAGGGACCAGAGAGCGCUGCGGUAUGUUUGGGCUGCAGCAGCGCUCGGAGCCCUGAGACAGGCUAGUAGCUACUUCCAACUUUAAAACCUGA